rnacentral:rRNA from 1 species
UCCGUAGGCAGCAAGCGUUGUUCGGCAUUCCUGGGCGUCAAGCGCGUGUAGGCGGCUAUGCCAGUCGGAUGUGAAAGCCCUCGGCUCAACCGGGGAAGUGCACCCGAAACUGCAAAGCUAGAGUCUCGGAGAGGAUCGUGGAAUUCUCGGUGUAGAGGUGAAAUUCGUAGAUAUCGAGAGGAACACCGGUGGCGAAGGCGGCGAUCUGGACGAUGACUGACGCUGAGACGCGAAAGCGUGGGGAGCAAAAAGG